rnacentral:rRNA from 1 species
GACGAACGCUGGCGGCGUGCCUAAUACAUGCAAGUCGAACGAACCGAGACUAGGUGCUUGCACUUGGUCAAGGUGAGUGGCGAACGGGUGAGUAACACGUGGGUAACCUACCUCAUAGUGGGGGAUAACAGUCGGAAACGACUGCUAAUACCGCAUAGGACAUAGGAUCACAUGAUUCUGUGAGGAAAGGUGGCGCAAGCUAUCGCUAAGAGAUGGACCCGCGGUGCAUUAGCUAGUUGGUAGGGUAAAGGCCUACCAAGGCGAUGAUGCAUAGCCGACCUGAGAGGGUGAUCGGCCACAUUGGGACUGAGACACGGCCCAGACUCCUACGGGAGGCAGCAGUAGGGAAUCUUCCGCAAUGGACGCAAGUCUGACGGAGCAACGCCGCGUGAGUGAAGAAGGUCUUCGGAUCGUAAAGCUCUGUUGUUAGAGAAGAACAGCGCAUAGAGUAACUAUUAUGCGUUUGACGGUAUCUAACCAGAAAGCCACGGCUAACUACGUG